rnacentral:rRNA from 1 species
AUGGCACGGCGGAGGAGUGGUGUCUGCCUGUCAGCUGGACCUGGCGCUGACGAAGGCCCGGAUGUGGGCGAGCAUCUCCUGCGUGCGCGGCUGGGACAGGUGGCAGUUGUGGAGCACCUGGAAGGCGUGCCCCACGCCGCCGUACGUCGCCUGCUCCACGCUCUUGCCGGCCUUGCGCAGCGCCCUGCACAGCUCCAGGUUCCGGUCGCGCAGGAUGUCCGCCUCCGAGAUGCACACCAGCACGGCCGGCAGCGCCAGGGCCUCCAGCCGGGGCGCGCCGCGGGCCAGCGGGUUGCACCAGGGGUGGUCGCGCCCGGCGCCCGCCGGGAGCGCCAUGCGCCAGUAGCUGUCCGAGGUGGAGAGGCUCAGCGCCGACCCCGCUGGCUGCGGCAUGCUCUUCUCCGACGCCGUGCGGGCCUCCCCGCCGAAGAAGGGCUGGAUCAGUACGGCCCCCUUCACCGAGAGCGGCGCCAGCGCGCCCAGCUGGCCCUGCCCGGCCCGCGCCGCGACGUGGAACGCGAUGGCGGCGCCCGCGCUGUCGCCCAUCAGGAACACGCGGUCGAACCUGCACCGGCCGCGCCACCAGGAGACCUCGUCGGAGGCGGCGGCGUUGUUUCUGCCCGCCUGCUGCCGCAGCCACCGCAGCGCCGUGAGCCCGUCGUCGAAGGCCGCGGGCAGCCGGUUCUCCGGCGCCAGGCGGUAGUCGACGGACAUCACGGCGCAGCCCGCCCGCGCGGGGAGCUGGGCGACGAACUCGUGGUAGCAGCUCCACGCCGCGGAGCCGACGCUGAACCCGCCGCCGUGGAAGUAGACCACCACGGGGACCUUCCCCGCCGCGGCGGCCGGCGCGUACAGGCGCGCCCACACCCCCGUGGCGCGGUCGACCGCCACGUCGCGCGCGAGGACGCCGCUCCCGGCGGCCGUCGAGCCCCACGUGCAGGGCACGUCGGGGAUCGCCGGGAGGCGCUCCACGUGCCCGUCCUUGUACACGCGGAUGAGCCCGUGUAUCUCCUCCACGACGGCGCCGUGGCCCCCGCCGUUCUUGCCGACCUGCUGCUGGAAGCUGACCCGCGGCUCGCCGACGUGCAGUGCCCCCAUCCUCCUCCUUAUCAUGCAGAAGCCCUCGCGCGCGCGUCGGCUUGGAUCGAUGCGAGCGGCGCGGCCGGCCGGCAGGCGCUAGACAACGAGAGUGGUGCUAGGCCUUGGGUUGUCUGUGCGCUGUGGGGUGUCCCGGGAGCCGGCGGCGGACACAAUUAUGCGGCGUUGUCCGGGGAGCUCGGGCGGUGGCCGGGUUUUAUAGCCGGGAGGGGGACGGUGGGACAGGUGUCGGGCUGGCUUUGGCUGCCGAGCGAUCGAGUGGACUCGCAAAGUGGGGGUGGGGGUGGGUGA